rnacentral:lncRNA from 1 species
UCGGCGGUGGUAUCCCAGCGGAUACGGCAGCGACGGAGGGCGAGAAAAGGAGGAGCUUGGCCUCGUCUAUCGUAUGCUUCUGUAUCCGGUGGCACUCCGCCAUGGUCCUCCACAUGCUUGCUAACCUGCGCCGCAAUACAAAGGAAAGGUGAGAAGCUCUGAUUGCGUAGAAGGAAAUGUUUGAUCCAACCCACAAAGGUGGAGACAUUCUUAGGGUAAAAGCCUGACCUUAUAAAGAUUACUGCUUCAACUUCAAUUUAUAUAAAGGUAAACUGGUCACAAUUUUUGAGGAAGGGAAUAGAAUGAUUAUUUGGAUAGAUACAAAAACUUGAAAGCAGCUUACUUUUUUUUCUUUUGAAGAAAAAAAUUAUGCAAUUAAGCUAAGAGAAUAUAAAAAGAAUAAUGAGAGCAUGCAAGAUUUCAUAAACAACCUAUGAUAUGGAAAAAACAAAGUCUGCAAAAGAUGAUUAGCAUCCUUGAUGUUUUUCCUUACAUGAUGGGGAUCACAAUCCUUUCCUUGCAUGUUUUAUUAGAUUUUGCAUGUAAAAGCACAUUAGGAAUAUGACAUCCAAAUAAGAAACAAGGUUACAUGUUCACUCUGACCAUUUAAUGUGAUCAUGUUCUCUUUUCCUAAUGUUCUAUUUCUCCUAAACAUGACAUGUAUAUGGAAAAGAUCAUAGUGAUCUGUUAAUUUAUUCUUGCACUGGAUAAAUAGAACGAUAAAGGCUAGAUGAAACACCACCAUAUGCUGCAGAAGGUUUGAUAUGUAGUUUCAUGCCAGAUUGAGCGACCUAUAAAUUGUUUUUCAUGUGCGUCUCAGAUCACUCUUUAGGAAGAAACCUUGUUGUUGUGUUCUAGUGCAACAAGAUUGCUUGACUGGUCAGCGAUGUAGUAUCUACGUUUGCUCAUUAGUUAUGGUAUAUGCAUUCAGGUAUACUGACAUGUAUGCAUUUUCAGAUUAAUAUACAUUAAUCUAACACAUUAUUUGAAAACUUGAAUGCAUCCCUUUCAUCCAAGAUCUGCCUUUUCUAUUUUCCAUGGGUUUUUCACCAAUUGGAUCUGAUCUAAUACAUUCAAAAUGGAUUAAGCUAUAGACUUUUCUAAUGUACAAUUGUAUGCAGUAUACUGAAGUUGUAACUUGAAUGAGAAAGCUUAAUAGUAGAAAGUUACUUACUUUUGGAUCAAUUCCAGAACCUGAGGGUGCAAUUCCUGGUCCCGUAAUGUCUCAAUUCUUUCUGAUAUGUAUGCAGUGGAACUUAUGGAAACCCUAAGUCGAGUUUGGAGAUCUCUUAAAGAAGAACUAGUCUUAUCGACGACAAAAGCCUCAUCUUCAUUCACAUCUUGAAUCUUCAGCUGCAUGCACUUCUUUUCAUAUUCUAUUCGUGCACGUUCUCCACACUGCACAACAAAAUCAUAUGGAUGUAAUGAAGCAAACAAGUUUCACUUUGUAUUACAAUUUACAAAUUCUGUAACUAUCUGUCAAAAGCUUUAACUACCUUUACUUCAUCAUAUAGCUUCUUCUCCCAUUCAUACAGUCUAUCCAGUGUUGACUUGUGGCUUCCAGGGACCGCACGAGAUUCCUCCAUGUGUGAAGAUGUUGAAGGAGCCAUAGCAGCUGGAUUCAACAUCCUUGAAACUGUAUCAGAAGAUAAAAAUAACCAGGUUCCUACAUAUUAUUGUUAUCAGAGAGCAGGCUUGAUGUACCCACCUUGUAGCGAGGAUGAAGAGGGUUGAGUGCUGCUGACUUCGAAGAAUGUAGAGAGUUCACUAGCAGAAUUGCAAAUUCUGACAAAUUGGGCUUCAAUAUCCUUCAUGACCUCUCCCAUGCUUGUUGGUCUUCUGUUUAUGUAAACAGUGAAACCGGGAGUUUCCUGCGAGCUAUUUCUAUCUCUGACAAUUCCCUGAUCAUUAUCGAUUAGGAGUUCUGCUGCAUUUUGAGUUUCUGAUACUUCAGUACUCCUCUGCCAACCUUGCAACCAGAAUUCCUUCAUAUCAUCCAUAUUUUCUUUCUGCUUAUGGGCAUCAGCUGGUUGUUUACCAGCAGUGGGCUUAAUAUUAAUCUUACCCCCCUUCUUCAUUCGUGCCUUCUCAUUCUUGUCAGCCUGUCCUUCCAGUUCAGGUACCCCUUCAUCUUCCCAAACCUUCCUUUGCCCAUGGGUAUUACCAUCAAGCAGAACCUCAUCAAGACUGUUCCCA